rnacentral:RNase_P_RNA from 1 species
GAAGCUGACCAGACAGUCGCCGCUUCGUCGUCGUCCUUUCGGGGAGACGGGCGGAGGGGAGGAAAGUCCGGGCUCCAUAGGGCAGGGUGCCGUAACGCCCGGGGAAACCCACGACCAGUGCAACAGAGAGCAAACCGCCGAUGGCCCACGUAAGUGGGAUCAGGUAAGGGUGAAAGGGUGCGGUAAGAGCGCACCGCGCGGCUGGUAACAGUCCGUGGCACGGUAAACUCCACCCGGAGCAAGGCCAAAUAGGGGUUCAUAAGGUACGGCCCGUACUGAACCCGGGUAGGCUGCUUGAGCCAGUGAGCGAUUGCUGGCCUAGAUGAAUGACUGUCCACGACAGAACCCGGCUUAUCGGUCAGCUUCACUU